AGAGCAAUGAAUAAGGUCUCUAUCUAUUUACUCAUUUAUUCAUUCAACCUUUAUUUAAAUCUUGAGAAAUAAUAGAGGGCAAGCUCUCCUUUUCAGUGAUGUUGAGAGUAUAGUUAAAACAGAAUAUCAAUUGCAAGAGAGCAAUUGAUACCUUCACAUGUAUCACAGUGUUUCCUUAACAACAGAAGAAUAGCUGGCUUGUUGGGUGAACUGCAUGAUAAGGUUUGAAGAGGGCACCUGAGCCAAAGAGCAGAUCCUGAGUGCAUCAUAUCAAAUGGCAGCAAUCCUACUAUAUGAUUAUAUAAAUACCAGCUGGUAAACACCAGUAUAAUGCAGCUAUAUUUUGACUUUUUAGUACUGUUUUAGCCUACAACCCUAAUCUAUAAGCCUUUGUUUCUUUCCUCAGAAAUUAGUUGAAGAGAUGACUCUGGAGGAUAUAAAGAACCACUCCAGACAAAUGCUUGAGAGGCAUCCAGCAAUAUUUUUAGAUACCCUGAUGAUGCAUCAGUGCAGGCAUGAUGCCCCACCUUCCGCCAGCGUGCCACAUGCAUCAUGGUGUACUUGUGGUGUACUGCAGGGAAAUGCAACGUACCGGGAAAGGAAAUGCUGUGGCCAGGAUCCUUUUAUGGAUCCUUGCAGGAACGAGAGGCCCUUACAGGAUUGGGAGAGGUUAGGGAGCUCGGGGAUGAUAAACAUAACCGUCAUCCCCAGCUGCUGCGUUUGGAGGAUCAGGGACAAGUUCCCUGAUUUUCAAGGACAGUACCCCAGUGUGGAACCUGGCCCCUGAGUUUCUGUUCCAAGUAUAAUCAGGGUAUCAAAACCAAGUAUACUUUUUAUACUUGUAUAUUACCCUUUACAUAUUUAUUUACACACACAGGGGUGUACACAGCUGUGCUGCAUGUAACAGAAGAAACUUCUACUUUUUUCUAUGCGUGCGUCCAAAUUAAUUUCCCUGAGAAGGAUCGAUAAAGUAGCUCUUCUUCUUUUUGUGUAGGUGUGUGUUACAGAUCUGACAUCGUGUCUGCAGACGUGGUGUGUUGUUCUCCUCCAUCCUGAAACAGACUCCAGCUUCAGGUUGCCUGUUUUAACUUGAACAGGGUGAAGUGAGUUUUUUUAGCCACUAAGGGGCAGUAGACUCCUGGGUGCAGCUUCAGGGUGUUCAGUCCAUCUGUUCACAGUUUCAUACAUACAAUAAAUAAGUUUAUUCAGAGCAAAUGGUCAACCAGCAGACAGCUACUGGACUGUGAGGAGUCAGCAACCAGUUAAACAACCGCCACUGCAGAUGGAAAUCUAUCGGACACACUGACAAGAAGUUUUAGCAGCAAGAGAGGCUCUAAAGGGGGACAUGACAACAUUCACAGGCGACCAGAUGAAAUGCACCGUAAUCUUUAAUAUAAAGAAUUGGACAUUUGAACAUUGUUGGAAACAUUUGGGGUAAUAUAAACAGAAAACCCAACUAAAUGUAUAAUCUAGUUGGUUUUAGACAUUAACAUUAAUGUGGAAAUGUAUAAUCAUAUUUUAAUAAUACUGAAGCUCUAUUUUGAUUAAAGACUUAAUUACAAAUUGUCACAGUGUUUAUGUAAGACACGAAAACUCACAGAAAGCUGGCUUCAACUUGGACCUUUAUGAUGGAUGCUUACGAAAACAAAAGCACAGUCAGAGGUUUGAGAUGUUAAGUUAAAUGGUUUCAAGUUUCUUUAUCAUACACAGGUUAACACAGGGUCAACAACACAAUGAAAUGUGUUUGACAAAUGGAAGCAGUCGGCUCAGCGUUAAGAGUGCGUAACAUAGAAAUAAGCUAAGAGGUAAAAUACAGUACAAUAAUUUGAAAAAAAAAAAUAUAAAAUAUACUAAAAUAGAAUAUGAUGCUGAAUAUAUGCUAAAUUACAUGAGAGCAGCAGGCACUGGCUGCCUGACCUCUCUGACUUACUGCUACAGGUACACGCACAAACACACACGCAGCAAUUUACUGUGUAAUGAGUGAGUGUGUGUGUGUGUGUGUGUGUGUUCAUCUUGUGUGUGCGGCGCUUCAUAUGUAUGCAUGUAGGACUGUGAACUCUGUUGACUCUUGUGCAUCUGUGUGCCGUGCAUUUAGAGGAGUGUGUUUGUACAAGCGUGUGCGUGUGUGCGUGCGUACCAAAGAGAACAUCCCGUUCUGAGUGUAUCUGCCCCCACACAGGGAGCCCUGCAUUGUUCCGCUGUUGCAACCACGUAUUAUCUGCAUCCUCAAACGUGACACGUGUUUGCCUGUAACCAUCGCACACGUGUGUGUGUGUGUCUUUGUGUGUGUUUGUGUCUGUUCGGAUUAAGUUCAUCACUGUCUCUUAAACAUAUAGACUCCUUUUGUGUAUCUGCUGUUCCUUAUUUAAAGCCGAUGCUUCAUUUGCACGAACUCUUUAUUAACCCAGAAAUGACUUUGCAUGCCACUAACGUGAGUGUCACUCAGAGAUAAAGUUGCAUUUAGUUCCUCAAAAUUGUUGUUGCUGGGCGGAUAACAAUAUAAAAAAGUCAUGUAGGCGUAUCUACAAUUUUAGAUUGCCUUGAAACCAGAGAUCUAUAUCAAUAUCUUUUAUCAGUUCAGAAAAAUGUAGUAAAAGUCAUUUUGGUCGUGUUACUGUGUCACAAAUCUCUUUGCCCUCUCAGAAUUCUGGUAUUAAACAGCCAGUUAAGAGCAGUGUUGAAAAAGUUGCCUGUCUAGAUGCGUUCAGUUACAUUCUUUGUGAAAGUGAGAAAUCUGAUAAGGUAGUUCAGUAAACAUUUCGGUUUUCAACACUGCUCUGUAAUUACAUCGGUCAGUCAAGUGCAGCAGACGACCCUACUCAGGGGUCCAAUAUCACAAACUGUGGGAAACACUGACUCUGUGCUGAGCUGAUACAGCAUGGUUUAGUUUGUCAAAAGCUGAUUCAACUUCCAUAUGAAAAAGAGAUCUCGUACAAACUGUAAAUCAUAACCACAUCAGUUUAGUUCUGCAGACACGGAUGAGUUAGUGAGAUUAUGACCUGAUGCUUGGGGCCACCAUUUCCUCUAAUGGCACAUGACUUCCAAUAGGGCUGCCAGAAGAUACUUCACAUCACCUGAAAGUCUUUACAGACGGCCUUGUGCGAACAAACGCUUUGUGUGUCUGUGUGUGUGUGUGUGUGUGUUUUUCAGACCGAAGUUUCCACUGUGUAGGUGGAUGCGUGGGAGGCAAGCGGAGGAGGGGUUUCCUCUGAGGUUGGCAUCCCCGAACGCAGAAGAGAAAAGGACUUCCCCUGC